GGUUCGAUGGUCUAGUUGUGUGGUUAUGGCAUCUGCUUAACACGCAGAACGUCCCCAGUUCGAUCCUGGGGCGAAUCA